rnacentral:sRNA from 1 species
AUAACAUCAUGAUCAUCAUGAUCAUCAUGAUCAUCAUGAUCAUCAUCAUGAUCAUCAUGAUUAUCAUCAUCAUCAUCAUCAUCAUCAUGAUCAUGA